ensembl:lncRNA
CUGAAGGAAAUACCAGUGCAUGAAAUGCAAAAGUUAAGAAAGGAAGAAGAAAAAAAAGAAGAGUGAAAGAAGGAAAGAAGAAAGGAAAGAAGAGUGAAGAAAAGAAAAAAGAGUGGAAGAAGGAAAGAAGAGUGGAAGAAGGAAAGAAUAAAGGAAAGAAGAGUGAAGAAAGGAAAGAAGAAAAGAAAGAAGAGUGAAAGAAGGAAAGAAGAAAGGAAAGAAGAGUGAAGAAAGGAAAGAAGAGUGGAAGAAGAAAAGAAAGAAGGAAAGAAUAAAGGAAAGAAGAGUAAAACAAGGAAAGAAGAGUGGAACGAAGGAAAGAAGAGUGGAAGAAUGAAAGAAGAAAGGAAAGAAGAGUGAAGAAAGGAAAGAAGAGUGGAAGAAGGAAAGAAUAAAGGAAAGAAGAGUGAAGAAAGGAAGAAAAGAAAGAAGAGUGAAAGAAGGAAAGAAGAAAGGAAAGAAGAGUGAAGAAAGGAAAGGAGUGGAAGAAGGAAAGAAGAAAAGAAAGAAGAGUGAAAGAAGGAAAGAAGAAAGGAAAGAAGAGUGGAAGAAGGAAAGAAGAAAGGAAAGGAGUGGAAGAAGGAAAGAAAAAAGGAAAGGAGUGGAAGAAGGAAAGAAGAAGGGAAGAAGGAAAGAAGAAAAGAAAGAAGAGUGAAGAAAGGAAAGAAGAAAAAAAAGAAAAGUGAAAGAAGGAAAGAAGAGUGAAAGCAGGAAAGAAAAGUGGAAGAAGGAAAGAAGAGUGAAGAAAGGAAAGAAGAAUGGAAGAAUGAAAGAAGAAAGGAAAGAAGUGGAAGAAGGAAAGAAGAAAGGAAAGAAUAGUGAAGAAAGGAAAGAAGAGUGGAAGAAGGAAAGAAGAAAGAAAAGAAGAGUGGAAGAAGGAAAGAAGAGAGAGUGAAGAGGGAAAAUAUUGAAAGAAGGAGAGAAAAUGGAGUGAAGCAGAGAGAUGGAGUGUGAGAGAAAGUAGAGUGAGAGGGAUAGAGAGAAAGAUAGAGAGAAAAAAAAGUAGAGUAUGGAAGGUGUCUCUUAAUAUUCCUAGUUAUACAGUUGAAUGGAGAGGGACAGAGAGAAGAGGAGCCUUGGAACCUUGGCGCAGGUGUCAGUGAAGCACAGGUGCAAGCCAGUUUAAUGACCCUAUUAUGAUGUC